CGCGGCCUAUCAGCUUGUUGGUGGGGUAAUGGCCUACCAAGGCGACGACGGGUAGCCGGCCUGAGAGGGCGACCGGCCACACUGGGACUGAGACACGGCCCAGACUCCUACGGGAGGCAGCAGUGGGGAAUAUUGCACAAUGGGCGAAAGCCUGAUGCAGCGACGCCGCGUGAGGGAUGACGGCCUUCGGGUUGUAAACCUCUUUCAGCAGGGACGAAGCGUAAGUGACGGUACCUGCAGAAGAAGCGCCGGCCGACUACGUGCCAGCAGCCGCGGUAAGACGUAGGGCGCGAGCGUUGUCCGGAUUUAUUGGGCGUAAAGAGCUCGUAGGCGGCUUGUCGCGUCGACUGUGAAAACCCGCAGCUCAACUGCGGGCCUGCAGUCGAUACGGGCAGGCUAGAGUUCGGUAGGGGAGACUGGAAUUCCUGGUGUAGCGGUGGAAUGCGCAGAUAUCAGGAGGAACACCGGUGGCGAAGGCGGGUCUCUGGGCCGAUACUGACGCUGAGGAGCGAAAGCGUGGGGAGCGAACAGGAUUAGAUACCCUGGUAGUCCACGCUGUAAACGUUGGGCGCUAGGUGUGGGGGACCUCUCCGGCUCUCUGUGCCGCAGCUAACGCAUUAAGCGCCCCGCCUGGGGAGUACGG
rnacentral:rRNA from 1 species